rnacentral:rRNA from 1 species
UUAUCGGAGAGUUUGAUCCUGGCUCAGGACGAACGCUGGCGGCGUGCCUAAUACAUGCAAGUCGAGCGGACAGAUGGGAGCUUGCUCCCUGAUGUUAGCGGCGGACGGGUGAGUAACACGUGGGUAACCUGCCUGUAAGACUGGGAUAACUCCGGGAAACCGGGGCUAAUACCGGAUGCUUGUUUGAACCGCAUGGUUCAAACAUAAAAGGUGGCUUCGGCUACCACUUACAGAUGGACCCGC